ensembl:lncRNA
GAGAGUUUAUAGUGCUCGUAAUUUGUGCUUGAGAAGAUGAUUCAAGGAGGGCAUGAUAGCUAUGUUCAAGAUGUGAAAGGCUGUCAUAUGAGAGAGGAAUGAGAUUUGCUUUGCGGGUUUCGUGGAGCACUCAGCCCUGGUGUUCCACCACAUGAUAGAGAGAGGGAUUAGUAUGAUGUGUCUUCCUUCACGGAGACUUGGGUUCAAAGCCAGGGAGAGAGCAUUUUACUUGGUCACAUUGCAGACUGGCUUGGGGCAGGCCUGCUGGAUCCUCAUCAACAUCAGCUGGUGGGGAAGGGAAAGCAUCAGCGGACCGAUGAAGUGGGAGGCUGGGGAAAUGGACAGGCUGAAGGACUAGAUCCUGCUGGGCAGGCAGUGCUCUUAGGGGCUGCGUCUGAGACUUGUGUUGGGUUCAGGCUCCAUUUGGGCAGGAGGCACUUUCCACGGAGGUCUAACCUGACAGAUCUAUUCUCUAGGCCUUCCUGCUUCUCUCUGUGCCUGGGAAGCUGACCUAAAUGGACCACACCACCUGCCUUCCUUGCCCUCUGGCAAUCGACCAACAGAAGUCACCAGCAGGAGAUGAGAGUGAGAAGACAAGAAGAGAUGCAGAAGCUGUUGUCUUGGCCAGGAGGAGAGACACGUCUGCAGCGACAGACAGAAUCCAGCAUGGCGGUCGCUCAGUGGGUGUUGACGUCCUCGCCGGGUUUACCCGGGACUUCCAGGAGGGAGUCUUUCCUAGAGGCAAAGAGGAGCAGAAGCAAGUUAUGGGAACAAGGCGGCGAGUAGGAGAUAGAGAGAAGAAGUGAAAGAAACUGAAGAUGUCGUCUAAGGAUUUGGAGUGUACGCAGUGAAUCAGUAUUGUCUUCUCAGACUCAGAAGCCCAGGCCAGCUGCAUGGCCAGAUGGCCCACUGGCCCCAGUGGGCCUAUCCUGCUGGUCUGAGAACUACAAGCAAAGCAGAGAGAGAGAGAGAGAAAUUAUAGCCAGUGGCUGCUGCAACUCCAGCUGUUGAUCCAAUUCCAGACAUGAGCACAAUGAUGAUCUGGCUGCCAAAAGAAAAACACAUAUUCCAGCCAGAGAAAGAACUGCCAAGGAUCUGAUGAUUUGCUUCCAUAAAUGUGUUGUCUCAUGCACAUCCAGAAGAAAAGCGGAGCUCAGUUUAAUUCUUUUCUUUGGUAUUAUUUGAACUAUUUUGUGAUUUUGUGAUGACUUUGCUACCCAUAGUAUGUUUCAUGGACCAGCAGCAUCCAUGUCCCUCAGAACAGGUUAGAAAUGUAGAAACUUGGGCCCAGCCCCACACCUAGUAACUCAGACUCUGCAUUUUUAACAAGAGCCCCGGGUGAUUCACGUGCACCUUAGGAUUGAGAAGCAUCUGAAGGCAGACAAAGUCAGGGCAUAGGACCGCGUCCAGAGGAUUGGGUAGUGAACUUGGGGUCGAGAGAAGACCAGACUUGAGAUAUGAGACGUGUUCUAGACCCAGUUCUGCCGCUUACCCUCAGUGUGACCCUGGGGAAAUCACUCCCUCUCUUUAGGCAUUGAUUUCAUUUUCUUUAAAAUGGAGAAGAACGUUUGACUUCUUGACUUCAGGAUGGGGAUGAGGAUCGAAUGAGAUACUGUGUCCGGGAAAGGAUCUGUAAAGAAGAAUGCACUUUCCAAACGCAGGAGGAU